UAACUGGAAUGGUAACAAGGGCUC
rnacentral:piRNA from 1 species